GGUUAGAGACAGACAGACAGGUUUAAACUCACCGUUCUGGAUCUGAGCGACUUUUUUUGAGAUCUCACUGAUGAUCUGAAACAGAGAUCACUGUUAGAAUACACACAACCAGAGUACUACAGGUGUGCUACAGUAUUACUACAGUAUUACUACAGUGUACUACAGUAUUACUACAGUAUUACUACAGUAUGACUACAGGUGUACUACAG